AACGAACGCUGGCGGCAUGCCUAACACAUGCAAGUCGAACGAGCACUCCGGGUCCUUUGUCGCACGAGUGUGUCACGCGUCGGAACAUGACCAUAGGUUCAGAAUACCUCCCCGACAGGGGUAAUAAUAGCGAAUCAUGUCUUCUGCCCAAAGAUUUAUUGCCCUUGAAUGGUCCGGCGUUGAAUUCGGUUGUUGUUAGGGUAAAAGACUAAUAAGGCGACGAUCAAUAGCUGGUCAGGGAGGAAGAUCAGCAACACUGGGACUGAGACACGGCCCAGACUCCUACGGGAGGCAGCAGUAGGGAAUAGUGGACAGUGGGCGAAGGGCUGAAGCAGCAAGGACGGGUGAGUGAUGAAGGCCGUAGGGUUGUAAAGUGCUAUUACCCGGGAUGAUAAUGACAGUACCGGGAGAAUAAGCUCCGGCUAACUCCGUG
rnacentral:rRNA from 1 species